CCCUUUAUCAGUCACUGUUCUUCUGGUGAGAAUGCUGGUCUCAGAGCUGAAGCCGGGUGAAGUCACCCCCGGAGGAGGAGGAAGCCAGAGCAGCCGGUGACUCACCCACACGAGACCACGGGUGGUGGCCAGCGCAGAGCGGGGCUCCCCCCUGCUGGCUGUGAUCCAGGCAGCGCCUUGGCCCGAGGUGUCCCUGACGGGGGCGGUGGGGCAGCUGCUGAAACCUGAACUCCUCUGCCCUGCCCCCGUCUCUUGACCCCACACAUCUAGCAGGACAGCGCCAGAGGAAAUCCUCGAAGAAAAGGGGCGUCUCCCUUGCUGAGCACAGAAUCGCCAUCAGGCCUGUGUGCCCUGUCCCUGAGGACAGGAAGGACAUGGGGGAGAGGCCAUGGUCACCCCCAAGAGCCCCCAGACCCACUGGAAAGCAGCCUGGUAUGCUCUUCUCUAUUAUGCUUGUCUCUUAUUUGCCCUUUGGAUGGUCACUGCUUCUACUGACCUGCACCUGAUUCUGUUGCCGCCGCCUCUGGUUGGGACAGAACUGCACAGUGAGUUAUCUUAGGAGUGUUUCCUUGCAUUCCAUGGAGGGCACCAGAGGCCUUGCGGCACUUGGGCACAGCAGUCAGAGGAUGCGGAGUGAAAGGAAGCUUCUGGAAGCACUGCCUGUUCUCAUUCUGGAGCCAAGGAAGUGAGAGGGGGGAAAAAGGGAAGAGAUUCUAGAGCCUUCCACAACUCAGGGGGUCUCACACAUAACUCCGUUUCCACAAUGCUGUGCCCAGCUCAGCCCUGUGGGUAGAAGGAGGGUCGGGGAUUCCUUUGCUGACCAGGGAGUGGAUGUUGUCCAACUUAUUUACCUUCCCAAACCUCAUCAAUGAGCAUAAAAAGGGCACUUGCAAACAAUCAAUCCAGACAUGGACCUUCACGAAAUAUAACCCAAAAUGGAUGCCAGACCUAAAUGAAAAGCUACAAAACUCCUAGAAGAUAACAUGAAAGAAAAUCCAGAUGCCCCGGGUUUGGCAAUGACUUUUUAGAUCCGACACCAAAGGCAAGAUCCAGGAAAGAAGGAACUGAUAAGCUGGACUUCAUUAGGCUGAAAACCUCUGCUCUGUGAAACUUGCUGCCAAGACAAUGAAAGGACAAGCCACAGACUGGGAGAAAAUAUUUUUGAUGGAACUAUCUGAGAGAGGCUUGUUAUCCAAAAUAUACAAAGAAUUCCUAAAACUGAACAAUAUGAAAAUAACCCAAUUUUAAAAAAUGGGCCAAAGAUCGUCAAUGACACCUUCAAAGACUAUGUAUAGAUGGCAAAUAAGCAUAUGAGCAGAUGCUCCCGGCCAGGCACAGUGGCUCAGGCCUGGAAUCCCAGCACUUUGGGAGGCUGAGGCGGGUGGAUCACCUGAGGUCAGGAGUUCAAGACCAGCCUGGUCAACAUGGUGAAACCCCAUCUCUACUAAAAAUAUAAAAAAUAGCUGGGCGUGGUGGUAGGCACCUGUAAUCCCAGCUACUCAGGAGGCUGAAGCAGGAGAAUCACUUGAACCCAGGAGGUGGAGGUUGCAGUGAGCUGA
rnacentral:lncRNA from 13 species